UACAGAGGGUGCAAGCGUUGUUCGGAAUUACUGGGCGUAAAGCGCGCGUAGGCGGCUUUGUAAGUUAGAGGUGAAAGCCCGAAGCUCAACUUCGGAAUUGCCUUUAAGACUGCAUCGCUAGAAUUGUGGAGAGGUAAGUGGAAUUCCGAGUGUAGAGGUGAAAUUCGUAGAUAUUCGGAAGAACACCAGUGGCGAAGGCGACUUACUGGACACAUAUUGACGCUGAGGUGCGAAAGCGUGGGGAGCAAACGGG
rnacentral:rRNA from 1 species